rnacentral:lncRNA from 1 species
CCUGCGCCCUCACCUGCCCAGGUGUGCUCUCACCUGCCCAGGUGUGCCUGUCGCUCACGGCCAAGCGCCUGGCGUGAGGUGUGAGAUGCACAGGUGUGCCGUGCCCUGCCCAGGUGUGCUGUGCCCUGCCCAGCCGUGCUCUCACCUGUUCCCUCACCUGCUCACCUGUCCGCUCACCUGCGCAGGUGUGCCUGUCGCUGACGGCCAAGCGCCUGGCGCGCCGCAGCUGCCCAGGUGUGCUGCACCCUGCCCAGGUGUGCUGUGCCCUGCCCAGGUGUGCUAUACCCCACUCAGGUGUGCCGUGCCCUGCGACACCUGGAUAUACCUGGGGACGGGUGAGGAACCACCUGGACACACCUAGGGCGCUCCUGGGAUACACCUGGGGACACCUGGAUACACCUGGGGACACUUGGAUACACCUGGGGACACCUGGAUACACCUGGGGCACACCUGGGCACACCUGGGCACACCUGGGGCACACCUGGGGACACCUGGAUACACCUGGAUACACCUGGGGCACACCUGGGAUACACCUGGGGCACACCUGGUGGGGCUGGGAUACACCUGGGACACAUCUGAACACACCUGGAUCACACCUGGGUCACACCUGGGGCACACCUGGGGCACACCUGGGGGGGCUGGGAUACACGUGGGAACAGCUGGGCACACCUGGAUAUACCUGGGGAUGGGUGAGGACACACCUAGAUACACCUGGGGCACACCUGGGAUACACCUGGGGCACUCCUGGGAUACACCUGGGGCACUCCUGGGGCACACCUGGGCACACCUGGGGCACACCUGGGACACACCUGGGGCACACCUGGGAUACACCUGGGCACACCUGGGCACACCUGGGGCACAGGGGGGGGGGGGGGGGGGGGGGGGGGGGGGGGGGGGGGGGGGGGGGGGGGGGGGGGGGGGGGGGGGGGGGGGGGGGGGGGGGGGGGGGGGGGGGG